CCGCCUCUUCUUUCUUCGCCUUUUAUGUCUGUUGUCUCGUUCGAUGCUCCUUUAUGUUUUCUAUUGCGGGGUGUAUGGCUCGCUCUUCGGCUCCUUUUUUUGCUGGUCAGGAGCUUCCUGUGAGGUCCCUCCUGUCAUUUCCCCUUAAUGUCCUGCUUUUGUGGGCUCUCAUGUUUUGGGGCGUGGGGUGUGUUUUCUCUCCUGCUGGUGUGGAUGUGUGGUGAGUUGUUGCGUGUGUUUAUUUUCAGAGGUUAUGUGGUGGCAUAAUGUUGUAUUCUCCCCAGUAAUAUUGAUUUAUACCCGGGGGUUUAUUCUCCCGAUUAACCUGAAUAGCCUUCCCCUAGUGAAAUACGGUAGGACUAUUAC
rnacentral:rRNA from 1 species